rnacentral:rRNA from 1 species
GACGGCAGCUAGCUCUCUGCAUCUCUCACAUGGUCGCCCGCUGAAGCUAAGCAGGGCUGCGCCCGAUCAGUACCUGGAUGGGAGACCACAUGGGAAAGCACCACAUGGGAAAGCAAGAUUGCUGCCGGAA